rnacentral:misc_RNA from 1 species
UACGUAGGGGGCGAGCGUUGUCCGGAUUUAUUGGGCGUAAAGAGCUCGUAGGCGGCCCAGUGAGUCGGAUGUGAAACCUUCAGGCUCAACCUGGAGAUGCCAUUCGAUACUGCUGUGGCUUGAGUCCGGUAGAGGAGCAUGGAAUUCCCGGUGUAGCGGUGAAAUGCGCAGAUAUCGGGAGGAACACCGGUAGCGAAGGCGGUGCUCUGGGCCGGUACUGACGCUGAGGAGCGAAAGCGUGGGGAGCGAACAGG